AUGAUGCAGGAGGUGGGGCAAAUGAAGAGCUGUGGCAGGAGAGGAGGGCAGGUAGUUGGAGGCAAGUCCACAGGUACCACAGUGAUGUUCCUUUUGGAAGAAAACGAAGAAUAUCAAAACCUCAUUCUUCCCAAACCCCAUGAAUUUGGACAUUUAUACUUCACUUGCUGCUUUGAGAACCACCACUAACAUUUUUUUGUUUUAGUUUUCUAUACGUUUUGUAUCAGUUAGCUAUUACAGCAAAACCACUCAGAGUAGCUGCAGCAAUAAAACACGGAUUUUUGCUCACCUGUCUAUGAGUUGGCUGGGUGUUUAUUCUGGUCUCAGCUGGACCCACUUAUGCAGCUGUGCUCAGCUGUGGGUUGGGUGGCCACUUAGUUGAUCAUGCCUGGGUUUGCUCACAUAUUUGGGUAUUAGCUAGUUGUGGGCCAGUCUAGGGUGGCUUCAUUUAAAACAACUGAACUCUGCUCUAUGUGGUCUCUUGUCCUUCAGUAGGUAAGAUCCAGUUUGUUCAUAUGGUAGUGACAGUUUCUAAGAGAAUGAGCAGAAGUGUGCAAAGCCCUUGAGACCUAGACUUGAAACCUGAAGAUCAUCAAAACCAAUUAAAAUCCAAGGGGUGAGAAAAUAAACAUCACCUCUUGAUGCGAGAAGCUGCAAAGUCACAUUGCAAAACGUGGAUACAUGAAGAAUGGUGGCCAUUCUUGAAAAAGAUUGAUUACAGGGUUUUGUUUUGUUCUAAAGAGAUAACCUUAAAAUUUAAAAUAUGGUCUUUUAUUAAAAUGUUAAAAGUGUUUCAUGCUACACGUCUUUCCUUCCCAUUUUUAUAACUGUGGCACCUUCUGCCAUCCUCCCUUCACAUAUCAUUCACCUAUAUGUUCCAGUUAAUAAUCCACUGCUUUGGAAGAGGACUUAGAAUUUGGACAGAAUGCAAGGAGUGAUUUUUCCACCUGACCAAAAUAGAGACAUAGAGGCUGGGUUUACAGUGUGUGUGAGGAGGAUGGUUUAGAUAAAUAAAUGAAAGGAAAAAAACCCAAGAGAUAAAAUUACCUCUGUAAAAUGAGGGGGUGAGGUUGGAUGACUGUUAAAAUACUAUCGGCAUGGCACAUAUUGAACUUGAAAUUUAUAUAGUCUUUAUGAUUUACUCUGCCUCUUUUCUUUUUCACAGAAAUUCUUCCAAAAUUAUAGAAUGGGGCAGGCAGCCAGAGGAACAAGACGUAAAACGGGCUUUUAAAGUAUAAAACAGAAUCAUUUGGGAUAGGAAAUCAUUAGAGCAGGAAAGAAUAGUAACAUUUGCUGAAUUCCUCUGAUAUGCUAAGUUUUGAACUCCUCAUCUGACAUUGUAUUUUAUUUUUCCCAUAACCUAUGUACCAGGUAGUACCAUUCCCAGUUUAUACAUGAAGAAAUGGAGAUUCAGUAAUGUUAAAAAAUGUUCCCAAGUCUCACUGUUAGUGGAAGCUUUGCUUUUGUUUAACCUUGAAAAUCAGUGAUUGGAGGGUGGGAAAGUGAAUGCGGACAGCAGCAGACUCUGUAGGCAGCUGAUGGAGGAGGAGAUGUGAGCUCUGUGCAAUGACUGGGAGCCUCUUAUAGACCUGCCUGACAUCUCCUUAAUCUUUGUAUCCCAACUACUCAGCACAGCACCCAGCACAUGACAAAUAUUCAUGUUGGAGAUAUAAUCAAGCAUUAUUCUGCAAGCACACUAGGGCUCUGUCAACGUGUAACUAUUAGAACAUGACUGAACUGAUGUGGCGUGUCUUAGUCUAUUUGUGCUGCUGUAACAGAAUACCAUAGGCUGAGUCAUUUAUAAAGAUGAUAGGUUUAUUUCUUACUGUUAUGGGGCCUGGG
rnacentral:lncRNA from 1 species